CGAAGGGAGAGAAUUGCAGAGAGAAUGAAGGCCCUGCAGGAACUGGUUCCCAAUGGCAACAAGACAGACAAGGCUUCGAUGCUAGAUGAGAUCAUCGACUAUGUCAAAUUCCUACAGCUUCAAGUCAAGGUUCUGAGCAUGAGCAGAUUGGGCGGUGCAGCUGCUGUUGCUCCCCUCGUAGCUGAUAUGUCAUCCGAGGGACGAGGAGGAGCCGGAGGUGGCGGCGACUGUAUUCAGGCCACUGCUAAUGGUGGGUCCCUUCC
rnacentral:misc_RNA from 1 species